CAGUCGCCGCGGGAAUACGGAGGGGGCUAGCGUUGUUCGGAAUUACUGGGCGUAAAGCGCACGUAGGCGGCUUGGUAAGUUAGAGGUGAAAGCCCAGGGCUCAACCCUGGAAUUGCCUUUAAGACUGCCGAGCUAGUAGGUGAGAGAGGUGAGUGGAAUUCCGAGUGUAGAGGUGAAAUUCGUAGAUAUUCGGAUGAACACCAGUGGCGAAGGCGGCUCACUGGCUCAUUCUAGACGCUGAGGUGCGAAAGCGUGGGGAGCAAACAGGAUUAGAUACCCGCGUAGUCCCUGUCUCUUAUAA
rnacentral:rRNA from 1 species